CCGGUUUUUCAAGCACAAAGUGCCCAGACAAGCCACAACAGCCCACAGCACGUUCUCUUCACAGCCUCCCACACCUAUGCCUCGCUCCUUUCUCACCCCUGACUAGUUCCAGGAUCCCUGGUCCACAUUUGAAGGGUGCAGACCCAGGGUAGAAUGUUGUAGAAGAGGAAGAAGUAGUGGGAGCAGGAGAACACAGCAUCUGCACUUGUCCAGCCUUCGGAAGGAGCUGCCAGCCUGAAUGGGAGCGGAGAGCGAACUGCAUGCUCACCGAGAUGACAUGGGGAGUUUGAGAGAAGACAUUCAAAUGAGAAUGUCCCAUAUGCGUUUAGUGCUGUGGUUCAAGACUUGGACAAGACGUCAGGACUACCACGAUUGGAGACUCAUCAGUAGAGAUUUGACAUUCACAGGAUGGAUAACAGCCCCCCCCCCCCCCCCCCCCCCCCCACAAAUCAAAGGAGUCCUGGCUAAGUGAGCUGAAGAAAAGGUUAUCUAUCAAGAAGAAAGCAUGAUUCCUCAGCCUUGGCAGCACAUUAGCAUCAUCUGGAGAACUUUAAAAACUGAUUUUUUUUUCCUUCAUUUGAUUUCUUUUCUAAUUGAUUUAACUUUGUAAGGGUGGAAUUAAAAAAAAAAAAAAACAGUAAUGCUUUCUUUUCCAUUUAAAGCUAUGCUCAACAAAGUCAUUACUAGACCUGCGGAAAAUUACCUCUCUCAUUUUAUUGAAUUUUCCUGGAGUGUUUGAACCUUAAGACAGCUUCCUUCCCUUGCAACUUCCUUAUAAUUUUCAUUUUGAAUUUUUUAUGGAGUCACAGUGAAAUGCUUCUUCAGUAUUUCUAUACUGAAUCAACACUGAUUCCCUAUUCAAAUGAUGUUCCCAUUGAGAAAGACACACUAAUUUCAAGAUCUAUACAGCUAAACAAAGUCUCAAGUUCAAGUUUCCCACCACUUUCAACAGACUGUGGAAAAUAAAAAUACUAAUUAAAAUACA
rnacentral:lncRNA from 1 species